UUUCUACAGUCUUACGUCAAAAUACACAAGGCCGUGCAGUCUUCUUUAGGACAGGAAGUCUACUUGAUCUAGUCUGAGAAAUGGUGUCAACAGGGUUUCCCUUUACGACAAUAUUUGGGAAACUUCAGCUACUAUCGAGAGCCCACAGGAAGAGGAUGCUGAUUGUUUU
rnacentral:lncRNA from 1 species